UACAGAGGGUGCAAGCGUUGUUCGGAAUUAUUGGGCGUAAAGGGCGUGUAGGCGGUUUGCUAAGUCAUGUGUGAAAUCCCCCGGCUUAACCGAGGAACGACGCAUGAUACUGGCAAGCUAGAGUACCAAAGAGGGGGGUGGAAUUCCCGGUGUAGCGGUGAAAUGCGUAGAUAUCAGGAGGAACACCGGCGGUGUAGACGGCUUUCUGGACCGUAGCUGACGCUGAGACACGAAAGCGUGGGUAGCAAACAGG
rnacentral:rRNA from 1 species